UUACGCUCCCAUUGAGUACAUUUUUGGAGAAAGGUACAUCUGUUGCACCACAGGCCAAUUAGGUUGCUGCGGAGCACAAUACAUUUUCUUUCUUAGCAGGGCAAUUUUAGUGUGUAGUUGCAACAUUACGCCCCCAUUGAGUACAUUUGUGGAGGAAGGGACAUCUGUUGCACAACAGGCCAGUGAGUAGCUGCGGAGCACAAUACAUUUUCUUUCUUAGCAAGCAUGAGGCUGAUGCGGAGCACAAUACGUUUUCUUUCUUUGCAGAUCAAUUUGAGUUUGUGGUUGCAACGUUACGCUCCCAUUGAGUACAUUUUUGGAAAAAG